rnacentral:misc_RNA from 1 species
GAUGAAGAACGUAGCGAAAUGCGAUAAGUAAUGUGAAUUGCAGAAUUCAGUGAAUCAUCGAAUCUUUGAACGCACAUUGCGCCCGCCAGUAUUCUGGCGGGCAUGCCUGUUCGAGCGUCAUUACAACCCUCAGGCCCCCGGGCCUGGCGUUGGGGAUCGGCGGAGCCCCCCGUGGGCACACGCCGUCCCCCAAAUACAGUGGCGGUCCCGCCGCAGCUUCCAUCGCGUAGUAGCUAACACCUCGCGACUGGAGAGCGGCGCGGCCACGCCGUAAAACACCCAACUCUUCUGAAGUUGACCUCGAAUCAGGUAGGAAUACCCGCUGAACUUAAGCAUAUCAAUAAGGGAGGA